rnacentral:lncRNA from 1 species
GUUCAUGUAGACUUACCGUAGUUAUGCACAGAAGAAGGCUGUGCGGUUUUCCACUCUUCACUCAUUUUUCUUUCUCUGCUUAACUAAGGAACAUACCUAUUGCUUCAGUUCUGACAUCUUCAACCACGCACCUGCUCAGCUGCUGCUGUGUCUCUCAACUCAACUCAACUUGGUCCAGCAGGAGAGGUCAGACUCACCUGCUCCCAGCUGUGUGUCCAUGAAAUUUGGCUAGUGGAUGGUCCCCCACCGAAAUUCUGUAAUGAGGGCAUUACUGCUGAUAAAAGGUCUCCAACGAACACUGAAGGAGGUGCAUCAGCAGGUGCGACAGAACCAGUGAACCCCUAACCGGGAAGACACGCUAGAGCUGCUCCCAGGCGACUGGGUUCUCAUCCGUGACCUGUGAAAGAAACAUUGGAAGCAGCCCCGGUGGAGAGGCCCUCAUCAAGUUCUUCUGUCCACACCCCACGCUGUGAAAAUAGAAGGCAUUGACUUGUGGACUCACAUCACCUACUGCUGUAAAAUAGCUGAUCCCACGCAGGCACAACAGCAACAUGAGUGAUUCAAGGACACCCUAGCACCCUUUCU